rnacentral:rRNA from 1 species
AUGGAAGAUCAAUUGCAAAAUCUGCCCCCAAUAAGAACUAGCAGAACACAAGCACCUCCAGGGUUUGCAAACGCAAUCAGGACAGAUUUUAGCCAAAAUGUCAGUACACCAUUAACUGCAAGAGAUCGUGUGCCCACUCCAGCCUUCAACAAAUUUUAUCAACAGAAUAGAGAGAGGCAAAUGUGGCAGGGUUAUCACAAAACCUAUGAACAAGAGAUGCAAGCUCAGUUCAUGAGAUCAUUAACAAAAGGACCAAAACUGGACUUUCCAAGGUUUUCGGGCGAUGAUCCAGUGGGGUGGAUUAGGCAAUGCAACAAGUACUUUCAAAUGUCAGCAGCUCCUGAAGAGUACAAGGUGUCCCUAGCACAAAUGUAUGUGGUGGAUGAAGCUGAUGUGUGGCUUAGACGUUCUGGGUUACUGAAGAAACAAUUAUCCUGGAAGCAGUUUGGAGCUGAAGUGAUAAAAAGGUUUUCUGACACAGGAUCCUAUGACUUAACUGAAAAAUUCAACUCAGUUAAAUAG